GAUGAACGCUGGCGGCGUGCCUAAUACAUGCAAGUCGAGCGAACGGACGAGAAGCUUGCUUCUCUGAUGUUAGCGGCGGACGGGUGAGUAACAUGUGGAUAACCUACCUAUAAGACUGGGAUAACUUCGGGAAACCGGAGCUAAUACCGGAUAAUAUUUUGAACCGCAUGGUUCAAAAGUGAAAGACGGUCUUGCUGUCACUUAUAGAUGGAUCCGCGCUGCAUUAGCUAGUUGGUAAGGUAACGGCUUACCAAGGCAACGAUGCAUAGCCAACCUGAGAGGGUGAUCGGCCACACUGGAACUGAGACACGGUCCAGACUCCUACGGGAGGCAGCAGUAGGGAAUCUUCCGCAAUGGGCGAAAGCCUGACGGAGCAACGCCGCGUGAGUGAUGAAGGUCUUCGGAUCGUAAAACUCUGUUAUUAGGGAAGAACAUAUGUGUAAGUAACUGUGCACAUCUUGACGGUACCUAAUCAGAAAGCCACGGCUAACUACGUG
rnacentral:rRNA from 1 species